AACACCACUUUUUUAAAUAACAAGACUUAACAAGACAAGACUUAACAAGACAAAUCAAGUUUUGGUUUUCGCGGCCAGAAUAAAGACGAUGUGAAACAUUCUACACCGACUUUUUUAAUUUCUAAGCAAAAAUUUUUAGCGAAACUGGUCCAAGUGUCACCAUUUUCAUUCAGAAUAAUAAGGAAAUUGACUUUUGAGCCAAGAAUUUUCAAUUUUUUAUGCCAGAACUCGUAGAAACGUAAAGUUAUUAGAAAAAAAUUUAGUAACAAAAUUGCCGUAUUCGGUCAAAAUAAAGCGAUCUGAGACACUUUUUCGGUAAAGCGAGGGAGUGCUAGGAGUCAUCUUAUCAGCUUAUCUCUUAACAAAAUUAAUACGUAGUGUAUAAUUACGUAGGUAGUCGUUUUCCGACAGAAUCUUCAGAAGUGAAGAGUUUUUAACUCCGGUGUGUGCAAACAUUUUUUUUGCUAUUGUUACAUAGGCACUAGUUAGUUUAACCCUUAAGCCAUCCAUCAACAAAAAGGAAUAAAAUUAUAAAAAUGAA